GUGGGGAAUAUUGGACAAUGGGGGGAACCCUGAUCCAGCCAUGCCGCGUGUGUGAAGAAGGCCUUUUGGUUGUAAAGCACUUUAAGCGAGGAGGAGGCUACCGAGAUUAAUACUCUUGGAUAGUGGACGUUACUCGCAGAAUAAGCACCGGCUAACUCUGUGCCAGCAGCCGCGGUAAUACAGAGGGUGCAAGCGUUAAUCGGAUUUACUGGGCGUAAAGCGCGCGUAGGUGGCCAAUUAAGUCAAAUGUGAAAUCCCCGAGCUUAACUUGGGAAUUGCAUUCGAUACUGGUUGGCUAGAGUAUGGGAGAGGAUGGUAGAAUUCCAGGUGUAGCGGUGAAAUGCGUAGAGAUCUGGAGGAAUACCGAUGGCGAAGGCAGUCAUCUGGCCUAAUACUGACACUGAGGUGCGAAAGCAUGGGGAGCAAACAGGAUUAGAAACCCGUGUAGUCC
rnacentral:rRNA from 1 species